rnacentral:misc_RNA from 1 species
AACCAUAGAAACCUGCGGAGUACCUGCGGAGGGAUCAUUACAGAGUUGCAAAACUCCCUAAACCAUUGUGAACGUUACCUAAACCGUUGCUUCGGCGGGCGGCCCGGGUCCUUCCCGGCGCCCCUCGGCCCUCGCGGGCGCCCGCCGGAGGUAAACCAAACUAUUGCAUUUGUAUGGCCUCUCUGAGUCUUCUGUACUGAAUAAGUCAAAACUUUUAGCAACGGAUCUCAGAUCGGAAGA